AUUGAACGCUGGCGGCAUGCUUUACACAUGCAAGUCGAACGGCAGCACGGACUUCGGUCUGGUGGCGAGUGGCGAACGGGUGAGUAAUACAUCGGAACGUGCCCAGUUGUGGGGGAUAACUACUCGAAAGAGUAGCUAAUACCGCAUGAGAACUGAGGUUGAAAGCAGGGGAUCGCAAGACCUUGUGCUACUAGAGCGGCCGAUGGCAGAUUAGGUAGUUGGUGGGAUAAAAGCUUACCAAGCCGACGAUCUGUAGCUGGUCUGAGAGGACGAUCAGCCACACUGGGACUGAGACACGGCCCAGACUCCUACGGGAGGCAGCAGUGGGGAAUUUUGGACAAUGGGCGCAAGCCUGAUCCAUCAAUGCCGCGUGCAGGAUGAAGGCCUUUGGGUUGUAAACUGCUUUUGUACGGAACGAAAAGCCCUGGGUUAAUACCCUGGGGUCAUGACGGUACCGUAAGAAUAAGCACCGGCUAACUACGUGCCAGCAGCCGCCGUAACAC
rnacentral:rRNA from 1 species